rnacentral:rRNA from 1 species
CAAUAGCGUAUAUUAAUGUUGUUGCAGUUAAAAAGCUCGUAGUUGGAUUUCGAAUGGGAGCGGUGGGUCGGGUCCGCAAGGGCUCGUUACCUGUUUCGUCUCCGGUUCUUUUUCGGGAUUUGUUUCUGGCGUGGCUGGCAUUGAGUUGUCGGUGGCGUCGGGCCCGUCGUUUACUGUGAACAAAUUAGAGUGUUCAAAGCAAGGUGUGUCUUGAAUACAUUAGCAUGGAAUAAUGAGAUAGGACUUUGGUGGUUUCGGUGAAAGCCGGAUAUUUUGUUGGUUUGCACGCCAAAGUAAUGAUUAAUAGGAGCAGUUGGGGGUAUUCGUAUUCAAUUGUCAGAGGUGAAAUUCUUGGAUUUCUAGAAGACGAACUACUGCGAAAGCAUUUACCAGGGAUGUUUUCAUUAA